rnacentral:lncRNA from 1 species
GUGCCUGCUACGGCUCUACGCCCCUGGCACUAUGACUGAUUAUGGAAGUCCGGGUGUGCCUGCUACGGCUCUACGCCCCCGGCAUGUAUAAGUAAGAAAGAUAGGGGCUAAAUGGUGACAAGUUCAUCCUUGUUGUGAAAUGUUUGUGUUAUGGCGCAUACAUGAAAGCAUGAAUAAGAAAAAAAGAAAGAAAAAGUUAAAUGAUAAUAAUAAUAAUAAAAUGAAUAAUAAUAUACCUAAAAAUGGAGGAAUUAAAACAAAUAUUUUUAGUUUCUGCUCACUGGGCUCU